rnacentral:pre_miRNA from 1 species
UGAAAGACAUGGGUAGUGAGAUGUGCAAAUGGUCAUCUCACUACCUUGUCUUUG